UACAGAGGUCUCGAGCGUUUGUUCGGAAUUACUGGGCGUAAAGGGCUCGUAGGCGGCCAACUAAGUCGGAUGUGAAAUCCCCAGGCUUAACCUGGGAACUGCAUCCGAUACUGGAUGGCUUGAAUCCGGGAGAGGGAUGCGGAAUUCCAGGUGUAGCGGUGAAAUGCGUAGAUAUCUGGAGGAACACCGGUGGCGAAGGCGGCAUCCUGGACCGGCAUUGACGCUGAGGAGCGAAAGCCAGGGGAGCAAACGGG
rnacentral:rRNA from 1 species